rnacentral:tRNA from 2 species
GCCACCUUAGCUCAGCUGGUAGAGCAAUGCUUUCGUAAAGCAGAGGUCCCCGGUUCGAUCCCGGGAGGUGGCUCCA